rnacentral:rRNA from 1 species
CAAGCGUUGUCCGGAAUUAUUGGGCGUAAAGCGCGCGCAGGCGGUCCUUUAAGUCUGAUGUGAAAGCCCACGGCUCAACCGUGGAGGGUCAUUGGAAACUGGGGGACUUGAGUGCAGGAGAGAAGAGUGGAAUUCCACGUGUAGCGGUGAAAUGCGUAGAGAUGUGGAGGAACACCAGUGGCGAAGGCGACUCUUUGGCCUGUAACUGACGCUGAGGCGCGAAAGCGUGGGGAGCAAACGGG